AAAACAACUACGGCUGCGGUGUGGUUGGUGGUGAGAUGACGACCUUAGUGCUGGAUAAUGGAGCUUACAACGCCAAAAUCGGUUACAGCCAUGAAAAUGUGUCGGUUAUUCCUAAUUGUCAGUUCCGGUCAAAAACAGCACGUCUUAAAACUUUUACUGCCAACCAGAUAGAUGAAAUAAAAGACCCUUCUGGACUCUUUUACAUCCUUCCUUUUCAAAAGGGCUACUUGGUGAAUUGGGAUGUUCAGAGACAAGUUUGGGAUUACCUUUUUGGAAAAGAAAUGUAUCAGGUUGAUUUUUUAGAUACUAAUAUUAUUAUCACUGAACCAUACUUUAACUUCACUUCAAUUCAAGAAUCAAUGAAUGAAAUUCUAUUUGAAGAAUACCAGUUUCAAGCAGUAUUAAGAGUAAAUGGUGAGUUCAAGUUUUCACUGAAAUUGAGUUAUAUGACUAUGGAUAUGAAUAGGGUAAUACUCAUAAAGUCCCAAAAUAUUAAGUGGCAUUCUUGGCUAGCACAGUGGCUAACACCUGUAACCCCAUCAGUUUGGG
rnacentral:sRNA from 1 species